GUCCCGUCAUAAGCUACUAUAUUAGAAUUGUAAGCUCUUUUGGCUCAUGGGUGAUGCUUUACUUCUCCUCACAGUCACUGUAGGAGAGGAGGAGGGGUAUGAAUAAGGGUCCCCCACGCUCUUAGGGCCCAACCUAAAAAGUUAUUAAUGCUCUUACAAAAUACACCUAUAGAAACACUCACUAACCUGUCUGCAAAACUGCAUCGGUGCCGAGUCUUGGCGUGAUAAUAUUCAAUGUGCAUCACUAGGGACCACUCCUUGCAUCUUGCAUUUUAUUUUAUUUUCAUAGCUUUAAUUUUCAAUGUCUUCUUCCCAUAUUCCAUCACCAACAAAAUAAUAAAAU
rnacentral:misc_RNA from 1 species